UACAGGGGGGGGCAAGCGUUGUUCGGAAUUACUGGGCGUAAAGGGUCUGUAGGUGGCCAAACUAAGUCAGACGUGAAAUCCCUCAGCUUAACUGGGGAACUGCGUCUGAUACUGGAUGGCUUGAGUGUGGGAGAGGAAUGCGGAAUUCCAGGUGUAGCGGUGAAAUGCGUAGAUAUCUGGAGGAACACCGGUGGCGAAGGCGGCAUUCUGGACCAUAACUGACACUGGAGAGA
rnacentral:rRNA from 1 species